rfam:Colletotrichum orbiculare MAFF 240422 contig03115, whole genome shotgun sequence.
GGCUGUGUGUUCUAGUGGUAUGAUUUCUCCUUCACACCUAAGUGGAAAUCCGGAGAAGGUCGUCGGUUCGAACCCGGCCACGGUCA